rnacentral:tRNA from 2 species
GCCCCGGUAGCUAAGCUCGGUAUAGCAUCCGCCUUGUAAGCGGAAGGUCGCGGGUUCAAAUCCCGCCCGGGGCU